AGCAGAGGAGCUUGCUUUUCUUGAUAGUGGCGAACGGGUGAGUAACGCGUGAGUACCUGCCCUGGAGUGGGGGACAACAGUUGGAAACGACUGCUAAUACCGCAUAAGUCCGCAUGGAAAAAGAUUUAUCGCUUCAGGAUGGACUCGCGUCCAAUUAGCUAGUUGGUGAGGUAACGGCCCACCAAGGCGACGAUUGGUAGCCGGACUGAGAGGUUGAACGGCCACAUUGGGACUGAGACACGGCCCAGACUCCUACGGGAGGCAGCAGUGGGGGAUAUUGCACAAUGGGGGAAACCCUGAUGCAGCGACGCCGCGUGGAGGAAGAAGGUUUUCGGAUUGUAAACUCCUGUCGUUAGGGACGAUAAUGACGGUACCUAACAAGAAAGCACCGGCUAACUACGUGCCAGCAGCCGCGGUAAAACGUAGGGUGCAAGCGUUGUCCGGAAUUACUGGGUGUAAAGGGAGCGCAGGCGGACCGGCAAGUUGGAAGUGAAAACUAUGGGCUCAACCCAUAAAUUGCUUUCAAAACUGCUGGCCUUGAGUAGUGCAGAGGUAGGUGGAAUUCCCGGUGUAGCGGUGGAAUGCGUAGAUAUCGGGAGGAACACCAGUGGCGAAGGCGACCUACUGGGCACCAACUGACGCUGAGGCUCGAAAGCAUGGGUAGCAAACAGGAUUAGAUACCCUGGUAGUCCAUGCCGUACACGAUGAUUACUAG
rnacentral:rRNA from 1 species